CCGAGCGGGGUCUCGGGGUUUGAUAUCGAGGGGCAGGGCUAGGUGGGCAAAGACGGAGAGGGCGCAGUGGUCCCGCGACCAUCAAACCAACAACACCGUUCGCUACGCAAAACGGCGCAUCCUGCUGCGCCCCCUUCUUCAUCUUCUUCUUCUUCCACCUCGUCCUCGUCCUCGUCCUCGUCGUCGUCCUCGUCGUCGUCGUCGUCCUCGUCGUCGUCGUCGUCGUCGUCGUCGUCGUUGUCGUCGUUGUCGUCGAGUCUGGACCAUCUUCUGCUUCCGUUGCUUCUCGUGCUCGCACCAAGUUCUUUCCAUUCUUCCGCUCUCCUUCCAUCCCACUCUUUCGUAACCUUUUAUUUAUCUAUCUCUCGAAUUUGAUCAUCCAUCUCUCCCUGUUGCCGCAAUCGUGGGACCAAAGGACAAAUACAAAUUCCAAGAAGAUUCAUCGAACAUCGAGAUUCGCGAGAAAAGCAAAUUGGAAAAGACGUUUCGCGACGAAGAUUUAUAUUUGAUCCCUCUUUCUCUCGAAUUUAUCCCUCGCUCUUUUUCUAUCCCAACUACCUACGAGUCUUUAUUUACACCUUACUCGAGAGAGAGAGAGAAAGAGAAGUGAUCGAGAAAAAAGAAGACAAUUCACCGGCUGCGAACAGAUAAAGAAGAUCGUCGAAGGAUUCAACGGAGGGGAUCUUUCUUAAGAUACCAGGUAGAACCAUGCGGUUCGUCGCCCUGGUACCAGAGUUCUCAUGAAUGAAGGAGGGUUCAACAGGAUCGAUGGAGAGGGCGUGUCUUCCUCGAGUGACGAGAGGAGAGAGGAGGCCGAGGAACAAGGGGAGGGGGUUCGUAUCCGUGACGUUUUCGACCCCACCUGGGAAGGGUACAUGACGGAGUACACGUGCUCGAUUACGUCACGAGAAUCUUCAAGCAGGACGCGAAAGGGCUAAUCCAUUCAAUUCGUGGUCUUGCAAGGAUCGGUUACUACGACUACGACACCUUCUUGACUUUAAGUGAAACGAACGAGUGUACUUUUUUAGGAAUACGUCUCUCUGUGCGAACCUUCGGACAAGUUUAAGACAAGAGUGCAUCUUCGACGUCAACAUGAUCGAAGGCCGAGUGAACGAAUAAACGUAUAGAAAGAGAGAGGAUUUGUGAGUCUGUGCUCCUUGCGUUCACUGCGGGCUUCCAUGUGCCAACUUUUCAAAAUUCAUAAGGCACGCGGUGAAUGCCAAGAGCGGACCAAAUUCAGCAAUGUCUCCGUCCAGUUGGUGUGUAGCCUCGAGGAAGCCUUCUCGAUCUCUUAGUGACUUCGAACAAAACUCCAAGGUUCUCGUCGAAAAUACUCGCCUAUUCAUUGCCAUAUCCUUUCCCUCCUUUUUUCCCGUUAAGCGAGGUCAGUUCUUCCUAUCCGCUAUUUUCCCUUAUUCGUUCCUCGCUCUUCUCAUUUCUUACCGAUGUACAAAUUAUGCAGGAAACAUUAAAGACAUUCAUUGGAAAGGAUAAUGCGUAUCUCUCCUGGCACUUUGAUAAUAACCGCUAGAACUACUCCAUCGGUGGCAGAGUCAUCGGUGGUAUCGGAGAACGACGAGAACACUACCAGAAGGAAAAAAAAAACAAAAAUAAAAAAACAGAAGAUUAGGAAGAAGGGGGACAGGGAGAGGAAGAAAAGAUGGGUAGAAGAGAGACGAACUCGCAAUCGUUUUAAGUGUCCCAUCGGACGAGAGUGUAGGAUGGAAGAGAGAAAAAAGGGGAUGGAGGUCGGACUUAAAGUACGAACCCCCGUAAUGGAAAUUGGGGAAUUCCCGGGUGUACGACGAAAACGGCCGGUUGUAUCGACCGAGUCGUCGAGCACGAAAUGAGAGAAGUGGGGAGAGCUUAGGGUUGGACGGACGUUGCUUGGCAACCCACCCUUACUCGCAGCAUCCAUCCUGGACCAAGCAUAUUACUACUACUACUACUACUACUACUACUACUACCACUACUACUGCUACUACUACUACUACUACUACUACGACUACUACUACGAUGACUACUACAAUUGCGAUUACUAUUACUACUACCACCACUACUACCGGCUCUGUUGCUGCUAUUACCAAUACCAUCACCAGCAACAUCACCACUACCAACGUCAAUUGAUGUGUCGCACACAUCCUCGGCCAGCCACAGCCCAACUCUACCAACUCUAUACGAUCAUGCUCGUCGACGUUUCUAGCCUCCACUUCCUCUUCUUCUCCUUCUUCUUCUUCUUCUUCUUCGUCGUUAAAUUUAUCUCGCGCAGUUCCAUCCAUUAUUCGCUGAAGAUGCUCAACCAUUAUCUUUUCCUUUAUAUUCUACUACACGUUCGAGCUUUUCCGCAAUCGUUAUCUCUAAUGUACUUCCGUAGAUUUUAUCUCGUGCCUUAUUGUUACCACUUUUUUAUGGAAAAUCUUUAGGAUUCUAAUAGAAAAAUAUUGUCGUCUCUUCGAAUAAUAAUAAUAAUAAUAAUAGAUUUUUAUGUUCGAUUAACAACCGUAUGUAUUAAUUGAUAUUAUUGCUGCAUAUGAAAAUACUUUGCUUGAAAUAAAAUUAAUGAAUGAAUACACGAUAUCGAAAUUGAAAUGUGCCAUUGUAAAGAAUAAUCAACUUAUUUUAAUAAACGAUUAAUAUUGAUAA
rnacentral:lncRNA from 1 species